AAUACAUAGGCUAACGAGGCGAACCGGGGGAACUGAAACAUCUAAGUACCCCGAGGAAAAGAAAUCAACCGAGAUUCCCCCAGUAGCGGCGAGCGAACGGGGAGGAGCCCAGAGCCUGAAUCAGCUUGUGUGUUAGUGGAAGCGUCUGGAAAGUCGCACGGUACAGGGUGAAAGUCCCGUACACGAAAAUGCACAGGCUGUGAGCUCGAUGAGUAGGGCGGGACACGUGGUAUCCUGUCUGAAUAUGGGGGGACCAUCCUCCAAGGCUAAAUACUCCUGACUGACCGAUAGUGAACCAGUACCGUGAGGGAAAGGCGAAAAGAACCCCGGCGAGGGGAGUGAAAAAGAACCUGAAACCGUGUACGUACAAGCAGUGGGAGCCUCUUUUAUGGGGUGACUGCGUACCUUUUGUAUAAUGGGUCAGCGACUUAUAUUCUGUAGCAAGGUUAACCGUAUAGGGGAGCCGAAGGGAAACCGAGUCUUAACUGGGCGUUAAGUUGCAGGGUAUAGACCCGAAACCCGGUGAUCUAGCCAUGGGCAGGUUGAAGGUUGGGUAACACUAACUGGAGGACCGAACCGACUAAUGUUGAAAAAUUAGCGGAUGACCUGUGGCUGGGGGUGAAAGGCCAAUCAAACCGGGAGAUAGCUGGUUCUCCCCGAAAGCUAUUUAGGUAGCGCCUCGUGAAUUCAUCUCCGGGGGUAGAGCACUGUUUCGGCUAGGGGGCCAUCCCGGCUUACCAACCCGAUGCAAACUGCGAAUACCGGAGAAUGUUAUCACGGGAGACACACGGCGGGUGCUAACGUCCGUCGUGAAGAGGGAAACAACCCAGACCGCCAGCUAAGGUCCCAAAGUCAUGGUUAAGUGGGAAACGAUGUGGGAAGGCCCAGACAGCCAGGAUGUUGGCUUAGAAGCAGCCAUCAUUUAAAGAAAGCGUAAUAGCUCACUGGUCGAGUCGGCCUGCGCGGAAGAUGUAACGGGGCUAAACCAUG
rnacentral:rRNA from 1 species